UCCUACGAGACUGACAAGAUUGA
rnacentral:piRNA from 1 species